GUGGUGCAUGCCUGUAGACCCAGCUACUCGAGAGGCUGAGGUGGGAUGGUCGCUUGAGCCUGGGAGGCAAAGGUUGCAAUGAGCCGAGAUUGCGCCGCUGCACUCCAGCCUGGGCAACAGAGCGAGACCCUGUCUCAAAAAUUUAAAAAGUUAAAAAAAUUAAAAUUAAAAACUGGCCUAGACUAGGGAAGUGAAAUGUCCAAACAUUUUGAACAGAUAAGAGGCAUGGUAGGAGGGAUGAAUUUUUAUAAAAGAAAUAUUGACAUUUGGUGGCGAAAUAUAAAUAUAUACAAAUCUUUUCCUCUACAAUACUUUUUUAUUGUCCUUGAAGGACCUACAAAAAUCACUUAG
rnacentral:lncRNA from 10 species